GACGAACGCUGGCGGCGUGCUUAACACAUGCAAGUCGAACGGAAAGGCCCCCACCUUGGUGGGGGUGCUCGAGUGGCGAACGGGUGAGUAACACGUGGGUGAUCUGCCCUGUACUUCGGGAUAAGCUUGGGAAACUGGGUCUAAUACCGGAUAGGACCAUGGUUUAGUGUCUCAUGGUGGAAAAAUUAUUGUUUUGGUGCAGGAUGAGCUCGCGGCCUAUCAGCUUGUUGGUGGGGUAAUGGCCUACCAAGGCGUCGACGGGUAGCCGGCCUGAGAGGGUGGACGGCCACAUUGGGACUGAGAUACGGCCCAGACUCCUACGGGAGGCAGCAGUGGGGAAUAUUGCACAAUGGGCGCAAGCCUGAUGCAGCGACGCCGCGUGGGGGAUGACGGCCUUCGGGUUGUAAACUCCUUUCGUUAGGGACGAAGCCGCACCUUUUUUGGGGUGUG
rnacentral:rRNA from 1 species